rnacentral:rRNA from 1 species
UACAGAGGGUGCGAGCGUUAAUCGGAAUGACUGGGCGUAAAGGGCGUGUAGGUGGUUGACAAGGUUCGAUGUGAAAGCCCUGGGCUUAACCUGGGAAAGGCAUUGAAGACGUGUUGACUAGAGUGAGAUAGAGGGUUGUGGAAUUUCCGGUGUAGCGGUGAAAUGCGUAGAUAUCGGAAAGAACAUCAGUGGCGAAGGCGACAACCUGGGUCUUAACUGACACUGAGGCGCGAAGGCGUGGGGAGCAAACAGG